rnacentral:rRNA from 1 species
AGGGUUCGAUUCUGGCUCAGGAUGAACGCUAGCUACAGGCUUAACACAUGCAAGUCGAGGGGCAGCAUUGGAGUAGCAAUACUCAGAUGGCGACCGGCGCACGGGUGAGUAACACGUAUCCAACCUGCCGCUUACUCGGGGAUAGCCUUUCGAAAGAAAGAUUAAUACCCGAUGGUAUAAAGAGUUCGCAUGUUCUCUUUAUUAAAGAAUUUCGGUAAGCGAUGGGGAUGCGUUCCAUUAGAUAGUUGGCGGGGUAACGGCCCACCAAGUCUACGAUGGAUAGGGGUUCUGAGAGGAAGGUCCCCCACAUUGGAACUGAGACACGGUCCAAACUCCUACGGGAGGCAGCAGUGAGGAAUAUUGGUCAAUGGACGCGAGUCUGAACCAGCCAAAGUAGCGUGAAGGAUGACUGCCCUAUGGGUUGUAAACUUCUUUUAUAAGGGAAUAAAGUGAGGGACGUGUCCCUUUUUGUAUGUACCUUAUGAAUAAGGAUCGGCUAACUCCGUGCCAGCCGCCGC